rnacentral:rRNA from 1 species
AUUGAACGCUGGCGGCAGGCCUAACACAUGCAAGUCGAACGAGUGGCGGACGGGUGAGUAAUGUCUGGGAAACUGCCCGAUGUGGGGGGGUAACUCCUGGAAACGGUGGCUAAUACAGCACACAAUCGGAUGUGCCCAGAUGGGAUUGGCUUGUAGGUGAGGUAACGGCUCACCGAGGCGACGCUCCCUAGCUGUUAUGAGAGGAUGACCAGCCACACGGGAACUGGGACACGGUCCAGACUCCUCAGGGAGGCAGCAGGUGGGAAGAUUGCACAAUGGGCGCAAGCCUGAUGCAGCCAUGCCGCGUGUAUGAAGAAGGCCUUCGGGUUGUAAAGUACUUUCAGCGGGGAGGCGUUACUCGCAGAAGAAGCACCGGCUAACUCCGUGCCAGAAGCCGCGGUAAUAC